UUGAUAUUGUGAAUAUUAAUUAGAGUAAUUAUCAAAUCAGAAUAUAUAAGACAUUCGAGCCUAGCUUCAUUUUUUCUAGAGGUCAAUUUCAAAAUUAAAUACGUUACGUACGUAAUCCAGCGGGCUGGCGGCAGCUCGCCCGUGACGUCAUCAAGGAUCCGGGACUCGCUCGGCUCCAGUGUCUCCUCAUCAAUAUUUACCGUAAAUUCCAGUAUUUUCUAGGUGUUUCCAGCUGUUUCCAAACUCAGGUGUGUAGGCAGAAGGAGAAAAAUUAGAGAAAUGGAAGAGGAGGAAAAAAUAAGGAGAAAUGGAGGAGCAGGCAAAACAGUUACAAGCUGAAUAUCUGGGACAUUGGUGGCAUGUCCUCCUGCCAGACCUACUGGAGGAACUUUUUGAGUGCACUGACAUCCUUAUCUGGGUGUUGGACGGUGCUGAUGGAAACUGCAUGAGAGACUGUCAGGGGGUACUGAAGAAACUGGCAGCAAGUGCAUCCAGAAGCAGUGCCUUUGUGACGUCAUCAAGGGCUGCAGUAGUGGAGAGGAUUAGAUGGUGCUGCCGUGUGGCAUUGAUGAGUGCCGGGAGAAGAAUGGCGGGUGUGGGCACCUCUGCGUCAGCACUGUGGAGCCGAACUACUACUGCCAGUACCAGCCAGGGUAGACUCAUCAAGAAGUUUAACUGUGAAGACAUUGAUGAGUGUGUGGCGCCCAGGUCCUGCUUCCAAUAUUGCACUAACACCACUGGUGGCUUCCACUGCUGCAGUCAGCCUGGCUACCGCCGUCACUCUUCCAACUACAUGCACUGCAUGGCAGAUUCUGGCAAUCCCUAUCUCAUCUCUUAUAGAGCCCAUAUGAGCAGUCCAGAGACUCCUUGGGUGCUGGUGGAGAAGAAUGAGAUGACAGUGGAUGGUCUUGCAGUCUGGAUCCAUGGGAACAUUUAGUUCACAGACAUCUCGGUAAACAAGAUCCAGAUGAUUUCCUGGGAUGGCUACUGGACUUGCACCAUUGUGACUGAUAAACUGGACCUUUCUCAUGCAACUGCUGUGAAUGCCAUUGAUGGGCAGCUUCUCCCUGCAUCGACCACCGCUGAGCAGCACCAGAGAGGCAUGAGUAUGUAAGGUUAGUCCAGCAUUGCCAGCCACCCCUUAGUCAGCCUUCGUUCUUGUUUAUUUAGGUUUAAUUAGUCGUUUUUUAGGUAUUUUUUGAGGUUGAUUUAUUUUUAGAUUUUGUUUACAUCUGAGUCUGGAAACAGUUGGAGAUUUAGAGAAAUAUUGAAAGUUCAUCAAUAUGUAAACAAGCUGUCAGCUGAGGUAGAGGUUGGGAGUCAGUGUUUUCAGCCUUUAUUUGCUUCAUCUCACACUUAUUGUAAGCUAAACAUAUCACAAGAUGGAGCCAUAUGUCUACCCUUCAUAUCC